rnacentral:tRNA from 1 species
GGUCUUGUGGCCUAGUGGUUAUGGCACAUGCUUUACACGCAUGGGAUCGCAGGUUCGAUCCCUGCCAAGAUCA